CCGAUCGGACGCUCCCCUCGCCCUCACAAGUGAGGUGGAGCGUCUUUUUCGACCAACCCAUGUGAACUCGUUUAUUGUGUUUAACAGCACUCCCCCCAACAGGGGAGAGCUGUCCAAACAUUUUACAACAAACCACAUUUCAAUCAAACUCUUGACUGAGACUUACAGGUCACGCCUAAAAACGUUGAUCUCAAAAACCUAACCAUUA
rnacentral:misc_RNA from 1 species